AUUUAAUUUUAGGUCUGGCCUGCCCACUGAAUUAUUUAAAUGGCCGUGGUAUUUUGACCGUGCUAAGGUAGCAUAAUCAUUAGUUUUUUAAUUAAAAGCUGGAAUGAAGGGUUAGAUAAAAAAAUAACUGUCUCUGUUUAAUUUUAUUAGAAUUUUAUUUUUAAGUUAAAAAGCUUAAUUUAAAUUAAAAGACGAGAAGACCCUAUAGAGUUUUAUUAUAGUACAUAUUUUUUAUUUUAGAAUUUAAUUAUUAAAUUUGAUCUAUAAUUUGAUUGGGGUGAUUGAAAAAUAUGAUAAACUUUUUUUGUAAUAUAACAUUAAUUUAUGAAUUAUUGAUCCAAUUUUUUUUUGAUUAUAAGAUAAAAUUACCUUAGGGAUAACAGCGUAAUUUUUUUAGAAAGUUCAAAUUGAAAAAAAAGAUUGCGACCUCGAUGUUGGAUUAAAGUUUAUUUUUGGUGUAGAAGCUAAAAUAUUAGGUCU
rnacentral:rRNA from 1 species